rnacentral:rRNA from 1 species
AGGUCUCCUGAAGGAACGUUGAAGACGACGACGCUGAUAGGCCGGGUGUGUAAGCGCAGCGAUGCGUUGAGCUAACCGGUACUAAUGAACCGUGAGGCUUAACCUUACAACGCCGAAG